GGGGGGGGGGGGGGGGGGGGGGGGGGGGGGGGGGGGGGGGGGGGGGGGGGGGAGAGGGGGGUGUUGCGGGGGGCGAGGGGCGGACGGGGGGGGGAGACGGCGGAAGCUGGGUUGGCGGGGGGGAGACCGUGGGGAAGCUUACGCGCAUACCGCAUACGACGUACGGGUGAAAGCAGGGGCUCUUCGGACCUUGCGCGAGUGAAGGAGCCGAUUGCGGAUUAGCUAGGUGGCGGGGCAAAGGCCCACCAAGGCGGCGAUCCGUAUCUGGUCUGAGAGGAUGGUCAGCCAGCGUGGAACUGAGACACGGUCCAGACUCCUACGGGAGGCAGCAGUGGGGAAUAUUGGACAAUGGGCGCAAGCCUGAGCCAGCCAUACCGCGUGGGUGAAGAAGGCCUUCGGGUUGUAGAGCCCUUUUGUUGGGAAAGAAAAGCAGCAGGUUAAUACCCCGCUGUUCUGACGGUACCCAAAGAAUAAGCACCGGCUAACUUCGUG
rnacentral:rRNA from 1 species